CAGGGGGGGCAAAUGUUGUUCGGAAUCACUGGGCGUAAAGGGAGCGUAGGCGGGUUCUUAAGUAAGGUGUUUAAUCCCGGGGCCCAACCCCGGACCGGCACUUUAAACUGGGGAUCUUGAAUAGUGGAGAGGUCAGUGGAAUUGGGGGUGUAGCGGUGGAAUGCGUAGAGAUCCCCAAGAACACCAGUUGCGAAGGCGGCUGACUGGACACAUAUUGACGCUGAGGCUCGAAAGCAUGGGGAGCAAACAGGAUUAGAUACCCUGGUAGUCCAUGCCAUAAACGAUGAAUACUAGGUUUUGGGCCCGUCAACGGUCCAGAGCCGCAGCUAACGCGUUAAGUAUUCCGCCUGGGGAGUACGGUCGCAAGACUG
rnacentral:rRNA from 1 species